rnacentral:lncRNA from 1 species
ACAGGUAAUAGAGUAAAAAUGUAAUAACUAAUUAUAUUGAGUUUCAUGCCAUAGCAUUUUCUUCCUGUUUUUGUAGGGAAAUGGUAUCCCAAAUGAGUCUGGUUAACUUGGUUGCACAUCGUACUAGUUGUCAUGGGAUGGAAAGCUGCAGCGUUAAGACAGUUCCAUCAUUCAGCCAGGAAAAGGAAGUAAGUAUACAAUUCUAAUAACUAUUAUCAUCUUAUUACCCCUAGGAAUGCCUGCGUUCUGCUGUUGCUGCUAACAAGGAAAAUGCAUACCUGGUUGCCGACGGCAUGAUUACAGCCGAAGAAGCCGCAUCCGCGGAAGCAGCAAUAACAAAAAGUGAUCUCCUACCUCAAACAAAAAGAAAAAGCUAGGAUCAAGCGCAAAAUUGUUGACAGAAGUUGUUUCCAAUUUGGAAGAUUUUAAGUCAUUAGAGAUGAAAAAAAUGGAAAUGUUUGAAAGGAGGCAGAAAGAGCGGGAUGAACAAACAGCUAAAAGAGACUUGUACAUACGGGAAACGGAGGCCCAAAAAAUCAAAAUAGCAAGUUCUUUAGUGGACGUGUUAAGUUCCCUCGUUCGCAAAAAAAACAAAAAAACAAAAAAAUAGAAAAAGGUUUCCAUCUUCUUCCAGCUCAGAAUCAUCUUGAAUGAUGUUACAAUACAGCUGUUACCUGUAAAGAACACUACAGAAAAAUUAGUGAAAACAUACCAAGACAAAUAACACCCAUCUACUGACACUAAUUGUAUUUUCCUCUCUGAUAGAUGCUCAAUACAAGCUAUUUGAAUAAUCACUAAAAA